CCUGAGAAACCUAAAAAAUCGAAUGGGGAGAUUCAUCGUCAGCGCAUUUGGUAUAUAUGCAAAUUAUGAUAUUAUUAAUUAUCCUUGUGGUAAUUAUUGUACGUGUUUGUAUUAUUUUAUUGCUAAAUGUCGUCGGCGUGCACUUCUCCCCUAGUAGAACGUCGCGACCCGUUAAGUGUCGAUCUACGGCCCAGAUGGCAGUCUUUGAUUUUAUUUUUAAUAUUGUUGAAGACCACUGGUGUUACCUGAUCGGCUGCUUGACGGUAUAUAAUAUGGUAUUGAGCCGCAAUAAUAUUAUUUGCGUUAAACUCACCACAAGCAUGAUUAGUUAUCUAGUAGUGCGGACCUAGUGCCGUCGCUGGAGCUUAUCUGCUGUUCGUUGUGUGAUGUUCUUUAACUGGCUCGUUAUAAUAAAUAAUACCAGUCAGCGAUGCUACUGCUUUGGGUACUUUCAGGACCCGUCUUGAAACACGGACCAAGGAGUCUAACAUGUACGCGAGUCAUUGGGAUUUAUUUUAAUAAAAACAAACCUAAAGGCGCAAUGAAAGUAAAAAUUGGCAUUAUGUCAUUUGAAGGAGGAUGAAUUAUAUUACGAUAUAAUUCCGCACUCCUGGGGUGUUUCAUUCACAUUAUG
rnacentral:rRNA from 1 species